rnacentral:lncRNA from 12 species
CUGGCUGCUCCAAAUCCAGUGCUGCUUCCAGCUGCUGACGUGGGGUAGGGAUGGCUGGGGCUCUGCCCUGACACAGAGCACUGGCUUGGGGGGAUCCAUGUGCAGCAUAGUGCACACUCUGUUCUAAGCAGCUCUGUGUGCUACUGGCUGCUAAAUUUACAGAGAAGAAACACCCUGCGUGCCAGAAUUACAUAAAUUCCACUGGUUUCCUAUAGACUAAACCUCAC